CACAUUUUCUUUAACCAGUCUACCACUGAUGGGCACCUAAGUUGAUUCCAUGUCUUUGCUGUUGUUAAUAGUGCAACAGUAAAGAUAUGAGUACAUGUGUCUUUUUGGUAGACUGAUUUAUUUUCUUUUGGGUAUAUACUCAGUAAUGGGAUUGAUGGAUUGAAUGGUAGCUGUAAGUUCUUUGAGAAAUAUCUAGACUGCUUUCCAUACUGACUGGACUAAUUUACAUUCAUACCAACAGUGUAUAAUCAUUCCCUUUUCCCUACAGCCUCACCAGCUGUGGAGAAGAAAAAGUCUUUUUUGACUUUUUAAUAGUAGAGUAAUUUAUAAAGAAAAGAGGUUUAAUUGGCUCAUAGUUCUGCAGGUUGUACGGGAGGCAUAGCGCCGGCAUCUGCUCCUGUUGAGGGCCUCGGGAAGCUUCUAAUCAUGAUGGGAGGCAAAGGGGGAACAGGUGCAUCACAUGGCAAGAGAGAGAGGGUGGGGAGGUGUCAUACUCUUUGAAACAACCACAUCUCAUUUGAACUAAUUGAUCAAGAACUCACUCAUUACGAAGGGGAUGGCGUUAAACCAUUCAUGAGGGAUCCAUCCCCAUGAUCCAAUACCUCCUUCUAGGCCCCACCUCUGACGCUGGAGGUCACAUUUCAGCAUGAGAUUUGGAGGGGACAAACAUCCAAACCCUACCACUUGUCUCAUCCUUGUUUAACACAGUAAGAGGGGUUUAUGUCUGCUCCCAGCUUUGUUUAACACAGGGACAGAAAACUGUAUUGGUUUCAGUUUUCCCUAAUAUGUAGAUGUAGGUAGUACAACUUUCAUUAGAAUAGUGGAAAUAGCUGGAAUUUAAAUGAGGUUGUAGGAAUUCUCCAUGCUAAAUAAGCUCUUUGGAGAGAAGUUCUAUAACUCACAAAUCAAAUCAUUAUUAUUUAGUAAAUUUUAAGUUACUCCUUUAACUUAGGGGUUGAAGGUAAAGAAAAAUCAAAUAUUUGUAUUAGAAAGAAAUGAAUAACAUCAAUAAUGUAUUAAAUUAGCAUCAAUUUAGACUCUAAACCCAGAGCCCAGGGCAAACGAGGAAGAUGUGUUUGAAGCAGAAGUUGGAAAAUGAAGGAAGCGUUUUUUGAAUGCUGAAUGGUUGAUUUUCAAUUCAAGAGUUAUUGCUAGCUACUUUUAUUGGAGGCCUAAGAGAUUGCUCCUAAAUUGCUGAGUAGUAGGAGUCUUUAGUGAGAUAGUUUAACAGGGCAAGUAGGCUUAAAUGUCUAUUCUCAGAGCUGGGGAGACUGGAGUUGUAGGGAAAGGAAAGAGAGAUCAGACUAUUACUGUGUCUAUGUAGAAAAGGAAGACAUAAGAAACUCCAUUUUGAUCUGUAUUUUGAAUACACCUAUAGACUAACAGGGGCUCAGUAGCCAGCAGGAUUUUUGCCCUUCAAAGGUAAGAAGGGCCACAAGGAACGAGGGUCCCAGUUUAAGAGUUCCAACCUACCCAAAAGUAUAGGCACAAGGGGAAUUGUAUAAGGAAUGUGUUCUUCCUGCCAAAGUUUAGGUCCAAGAUACAGGUUGACCAAGACAGGAAAAGGGGAGGAGUCUAAGGAAAUGUUUCUCUAUAUGAGUCUGCACUGCUAUGAAUAAAGAACUGUUCUGUUGCCUGGCAGAAUUAAUAUAAAAAGAAACCAAUUAGUUCGAGAUUCUGAGUUGCAAAAAGGAAUUGGCACCUGAACCAGAGGAUGUUUUAUUCAAGGGUAAAUCUGGACAUUGUGGAUGAGAAGUCAUAUUCUGAAGUACCAGUGAGUCAUCGAAGACCUUAAAGUGAAGAGAAGGCAAGGAGAAAUGGGGCCCAGAGAAAAAUGACAGACUUCCCUCUGGAAGCACACAGUGAAUUUGAGAUUCACUCCACAGAGGAGCAAGUCAAAACCUUCUGGAGAAGAACCAGUCAGUGUAAACCAUCUCCAACAACUGGAAGUGAGGAAGACCUACGACUGUUCCUACAAGAGCUGAGUCCUGGCUGGUGACAACCCAUGGACAGGCACAGAGGAGACCUGAGCAAUCAGAGAGGGUACUGCUGCCUUCCGGGAUGCUAUAUCCUGGCUUUGAUGAAAAACCUUUCAGGCCUCGUUAAACCUCCUGACUGCUGCCCACUCCUGCUGAUUCACAGGGGAAUAAAUGUCAUAAGCAGAAGGCAAUGGGGAAACAUCUUAAAGAAUCACAAGGUCUUGGACAAGAAACCGAAGGUUUGGAGAGCACUGAUGUUCUCUUGCCUCUUCCUGCUGCUGGUCAGGAUUUGGAAAGAGAGAAGAAAAUAAGGGAGGUGAACAAUUCUUUGUGCAGAUGGUGUUUAUGAACAAGAUUUGGAUGUCUGAACCAUGCAUUAAGAUAAUUAAAUGAGGAUCUCUUGGCUCCUGGUGGAAUCUGCCUAAUGAGAACUAGGAAACCUCAUUUGCCCUUGCUGGCUAGAUCAGUGAGCCUCUAAACUGAAGUAGGAGGGAGAAAAAAUACAGUGGUCCCUCAGUAUCUAUGGAGUAUUGGUUCCAGGACCCCCAUAGAUAACUAAAUCUGCAGAUGCUCAAGAUAAAAUGGUGUCAUAUUUGUAUAUCACCUGCACAUAUCCUCCCAUAUACUUUAUCAUCUCUGUUUUACUUAUGAUACCUAAUAUAAUGCAAAUGCUAUGUAAAUAGUAACACUAUUGUUUUUUAUUUAAGUAUCUUUUUUUUCGAUUUUUUUUUUUUAAUCUAUGGUUGGUUGAAUCCAUUAAUGCAAAACCCACAGAUAUGGAGGACCAGCUGUACUUGAUAAACCUGGAGGGCUGAUUGUUUUGGAGAAAAGUGGGUAUUGAGAUGAAAGGGAGAAUGAGGGCAUAGAAGAAGCAAAUUUAGAAAGGGGGCCAGAAGCAAUACUUAUAGUCUGGCCUCAUUCCUAAACAUAUUAACAUACACUUGAUAUUAUAAUGCAAGUUGAUAAAUGAUGUCUGAUAAGGAUCACCAUGAUCUAGUGAAGUGGAACUUGAAGCUGGAAUACAGCGAUGGCAGGUCAUAUUCCUUUGCAAAGGGAAAACCUUAUUGAAACAGAAGGCAGAGUCGUGGUAUGCAUGUGUCUGCAAGGGUUGAAGUUGCUAAAGAACUGGGAGAUUACAGCAAGAAUGGAACUUUAUUAUAGAGUGAGCAUGACAAGAAGGAGACAAUGAAAAACAUAGCAAACUUGUAUAGAGUGCUUAUUAUGUGCCAGAUUUAUAAAGUGCUUAGUAUUGGCACAUAAUAAGCACUUUAUGUGUAUUAACUGCUUAAUCCUUAUGAUCCUCUUAGGUAGGUACCAUUAUUUGACCCCAUUGUGUAGACGAGAAACCUGAAGGACAAAGAGGUCAAAUGACUUGCUCAGGGUUCCACAAUUAGUAUUAAUAAAUGGUGAGCUGGGUUUGAAACCCAGUCUGGAUCUGGUCUUCAGUUGACUGCUACACCCUUCAGCCUCAUCAGUGUCUGAAUGAUGAAUAAUACCUUCCAGAUACUUGUCACAAAACUGACACAAAAUAUUUGCCGAAAGCUUCAUUCAGCUCAGCACUUUAGGCAGAUUUUUGACGUAUUUUGCUAACAGAGGAAGAGGCUAGGGAAGCUGUCACUGUAAAUCUAUGUCUGAACAACAAGGUGAAACUCAGUAUAGAAGUGGAAGUGGCAGGGCUCAUCGCUUGCCAGGAAGGGAAAGAUUGGCAUACUUAGCUGUGUACCCUGGACCUGAGCCAUGUUGAUAUCAGACGGUUCAGUUAAAAAGGUAGGCUUGAUUCUGGUAUAUGCUGCCAAAGAAAGAAUAUUAACUCUCUACAAGGUUGCAAAAAUGCAGUUCUGAUUGUGUGAUAACAAAUACCAAUCAGCCCAGAUUCAGAAAAUCAUAGUUCGGUUUCAGGAAGAGAGCAACAACGUAUUUGCUGUUUUGUUUUUUAAAGAAUAUGGUGAUUGUAAACAACAAGAAGCCUAUUAAUAACUUAGUAAUUGGACAUCAUCACCAAAAAGCCAAAUCAGUCUUACACUGCUCUUAAAGGAAUAUAGUAUCUAGCAUGAGGAAGGUGAUGAUUCUAUUUUCUUCCACCUUGGAUCAUACAUAAAUCACUGUAUGCAGUUCUGGGUGUGUCGUUUUAAAGAGAAUAAAAUAGUCUCUUGUCAGAGCAGGACUUUCAUAUUUGCAUUCUAAAGUUGAGAUUUUCAUAUACCUGUAUGUACAUAUGAUUUAGUUCUUUCUUUUCAACUGGAAGUAAUUGGCAAACUUAUGUUUCUGAAAUAGUGUAGACAAAAGCAAUCUAUAAAGACACAGUUGCUUUGUGAAAAUAUAAAGUAUUUUCUCAAGUAUUCUUGGCAGAAAUUUAUGAAAAAGAAACAAGGAAGAAUGCAUGUACAACAUAACACUAAAUUUCUUCAUACUAAGCGUAGUGUGAUGCUACCACUGUAUAACUCAAUAAACCAUUCAAGAUAGUUAUAUUAUUUAUAAGAGUGGAUUGUUGACAUUGGCAAAUGUGGUUUGCUCUGAAAGUGGUUGUAUUCUGUAAUAUUUUUUUCUCCCAGUAAUAAAUUGAUAUACAGACAAAUGUCCAAUUUUGUUUUCAUUGCUUUCCUGCAGCUCACUAUUUUAUUUUAUGUAAGACCUUUAUAUUGCCAAAAAUGGUUUUUAUAGCCAUAUUCUGUUCAAAGAGCCUAGCCUCUGUAGGUUAGAAGAACUGAGGCUGAUUAAAAGGUAUAGAAUGAAGGUGGUGAAAGAAUCUGAAGCCAUUUGAGAAUACUGGAGUAAUUCAGAAAUAAAGGAAGGAUACUGGAGUAACUCAUAAAUAAAGGAGGAGACUGGUGGAUAAGGGUAGCUCCUGAAAUCUUUGGGACUAGAAAGUACAGAAAGCCUAGAAGUAUAGGCCAACCUCUACUCUCUUAUUUCGUCUCUGCUUUUCAUUAGGUUUUGGCUAACUCUCACACUUCUCCUUGUGGUGGGGAAUAUGGCUUCUCUCCUAGCCUCUGCUUGACAAAUGCAGAUGGCCCCUGAGUGGCCUGGUUUGAAUUAUAAGGUUAUCUCUUGGACCAGUCACUGUGGCCACAGAUAGUCCAGCCCAGUGGGGUCACUGUCCACCUGUUUGACAUUGUGUUUGUGGGUGAGAGAGAAAAGCAGGAGGGAUGGGUUAGGUGUGGUAGAAGAACUACAGGGAAAAUUUUCAGCUUGAUAUAAGAAAGUAAUUUCUGCCAGUACUGCCAAAAGCCAUGCGGGCAGCCUCUUGAGAUACUAGGCUCCCUCCCACUGCAUACAUUUUUGGAAAGAGAAUAGAAGUGUUCCAUGAUGCUAUUGAAGGGUUCAGAUACUACAUGGAUGGUUUAGCUAAGUGCUGUUUAAUAUCCCUUUUCAGCCUGUGAGUCUGUGAGUCUACAAAAUUCUAUCAUGUAACUUCAUUUAUGUUAAUGGCAAUAAUUGCUCAUUUGUGUUGUACUUUACAUCUUGCAAUAAAAACAUAUUAACAAUAGAAAAUGAA